UACGUAGGGGGCAAGCGUUGUCCGGAAUCAUUGGGCGUAAAGAGCGUGUAGGCGGCUCGGUAAGUCCGCUGUAAAAGUCCAGGGCUCAACCCUGGAAAGCCGGUGGAAACUGUCGAGCUAGAGUCCGGAAGAGGCGAGUGGAAUUCCUGGUGUAGCGGUGAAAUGCGUAGAGAUCGGGAGGAACACCUGUGGCGAAGGCGGCCGGCUGGGGGUACCCUGACGCUGAGGCGCGACAGCGUGGGGAGCGAACCGG
rnacentral:rRNA from 1 species